rnacentral:tRNA from 1 species
AAGCCCCGGCACCUCUUAGGGGUGCUUCUCCGAAUUUGCAUUUCGGUAUGCGGCCACCGCGGGG